rnacentral:rRNA from 1 species
GGCGAAUGAAGAGGGAAAAGCCCAAAUUUGUAAUCUGGCUCUUUCAGAGUCCGAGUUGUAAUUUUAAGAACUGUUUUCAGUGCUGGACCAUGUACAAGUCUUCUGAAAAGAAGCAUCAUAGAAGGUGAUAAUCCUGUUCAUGAUAUGGACUACCAGUGCAAUAUGAUACAGUCUCUAAGAGUCGAGUUGUUUGGGAAUGCAGCUCAAAGUGGGUGGUAAAUUCCAUCUAAGGCUAAAUAUUGAUGAGAGACCGAUAGCAAACAAGUACCGUGAGGGAAAGAUGAAAAGAACUUUGGAAAGAGAGUUAACAGUACGUGAAAUUGUUAAAAGGGAAACAAUUGAAGUUAGACUUGUUAUUAAUAGUUCAACCUUUUUAUUAAAAGGAGUAUUCUAUUGAUUAACAGACCAACAUCAAUUUUUGGGUGUUGGAGAAGGGUUUAAGGAAAUGUAGCAGUUUUUGACUGUGUUAUAUUCCUUUUGAGCUUUGAUACAAUGCCUAAGAUUGAGGAAUG